rnacentral:rRNA from 1 species
AACGAACGCUGGCGGCAUGCCUAACACAUGCAAGUCGAACGAGACCUUCGGGUCUAGUGGCGCACGGGUGCGUAACGCGUGGGAACCUGCCCUUAGGUUCGGCAUAACUCCCCGAAAGGGGUGCUAAUACCGGAUAAUGUCUUCGGACCAAAGAUUUAUCGCCUUUGGAUGGGCCCGCGUUGGAUUAGCUAGUUGGUAGGGUAAAAGCCUACCAAGGCGACGAUCCAUAGCUGGUCUGAGAGGAUGAUCAGCCACACUGGGACUGAGACACGGCCCAGACUCCUACGGGAAGCAGCAGUGGGGAAUAUUGGAAAAUGGGCGAAAGCAUGAUCCAGCAAUGCCGCGUGAGUGAUGAAGGCCGUAGGGUUGUAAAGCUCUUUUACCCGGGAUGAUAAUGACAGUACCGGGAGAAUAAGCUCCGGCUAACUCCGUG